GAGGAAGAUGCAGAUUGGGUGCGUGGGUUGUCGCAGUUCAUCCUUCAGAAUUCGCUACUUGCCUCUGGUGGUGGAGUAAGACUAAACAAUGAUCGCUAUGACUCGAAGGGAAAUACGCACGAAAUUUUUGGAGGAGACGGGAGAGAGUGAGGGCUUCGAGAGUGUUUUGCAAAGGGAUUGGGAGAGAUUGUUGUCAUCCUCCAAAACCGCCACGUCUUUGCGCAUCUCGUCCUCUGCUGGGUCAACUUCCUCAACCUCAUCACCACCGGAAGAAAGCGAGAGACGAAGUCACCUUUCUGAUUCUUCCAGGGUUCGUCGGAGGCGAGAGAAGGAGAAGAGAAGUGGGGAGAACCACGAUCGGCCAGAGAGAGGGAGAGAGGAUCUUUUUUGCCAUUGAGGAUCGGUUUUCCUCUCAAUGGCUGCUAGCAUAUUUGGACGCGCUCUCCGGCGCCAAUCGACGACGCUUUUCCUAGCCCGCACCCUCUCCUCCACCGCCGCCGCUUCUGCUACCGCUCCCAUCCGCGCGACCCUGUUUCCCGGCGAUGGCAUCGGGCCCGAGAUUGCCGAAUCCGUCAAACAGGUGUUUAAUGCUGCUGAAGUGCCCAUUGAAUGGGAAGAACAUUUUGUGGGUGACCAAGUUGACCCUAGGACACAAAGUUUUUUUACUUGGGAAAGUUUAGAAUCUGUGAGGAGGAAUGGUGUUGGCUUAAAAGGGCCAAUGCCUACACGGAUUGCAAAGGGCCAUAGAUCAUUGAAUCUUGCCCUGCGGAAAGAACUUGGUCUCUAUGCCAAUGUCAGAUCUUGCUACAGUUCACGCAUCUCGUCCUCCGUUGGGCCAACUUCCUCAACCUCAUCACCACUGGUGGCAACAUCUCAUCGCACCACGACGUUUCCAGGUUCAUGGUUUGGGGAAUCAUUCCUAAUAUCCGCAUAAGCACAAGCGCAUGUUAAGUGGACUUGGUCUGUUUGAAGCUUGCAAAAAGUUGUGGGCGGAUCUUGAAGAUGCUGGUCUUGCUGUGAAGAAGGAAUCAUCUACAUCAAGAGUACCAAGAUCAUAACGUGGUGGGGAGGUGAUAGAGCCACUUGUUGGUAAGCAGUUGUUUGUAGUCAUGGGGCCUUAGGGCACUGGAAAAGGGAAACAAACCCAUCAUUCUUGAGAGGUUUGAAAAGGUAAGGCCUAGCAGGAUUAUGAGCUAGAAGAUGAACAGUAACGUACAUAUAUAUAUAUAUAUAUUGAAAUGUUGAAUGUUGUUGCUGCAGGUAAGGCCUAACAGGAUUAUGAGCUAGAAGAUGUAUAUAUAUAUAUAUAUAUAUAUAUAUAUAUAUAUAUAUAUAUGCUGAGACGUGAUAUAGCAAAGGUUUUAUGUAGAUGUCAUAUUUUUGUGUAAAUAAUUUUUCUUUAUAUCUGUGUACUUUAAUUAAUUCCAGUUGGGAUUAGGUUGUUAUAAAGAGUUCAUUCACAAAUCAAA